GGCAAUAAACCUCAUUAGGCCUUUAUUGAGGGGAUGACUAAUCACUUCCAACAUCUGCCCCAGCUCCCGGCUCCACCAGCCAUCUCCUCUGCGAGUUAUUUUAAUGCUGUGAUUCACCUUGAUCAGCUUUCACCAUCUCCACCAGCCACGUGUGGUGUUUUCCAUUGAUUUCCUUAACUCGUGGGUGUUUUGACGCUUGAGUGCAGAUGGAGCAUUAUACAACCCUGAGAACAACCCAUGCCUGGGCUGGAGGCAAUUAAUGAACCUUCACGGGGCCACCUCUAAUGAUUAAUGACCUUUCACAGGGACACCUCUGCAAUUCCUGCCCUUUCAUAGAAUCCCAGCCUGGUUUGGGUUGAAGGGACCUUAAAGCUCAUCCAGUUCUAACCCCCUACCACGGGUAGGGACACCUUCCACUAGACCAGACUGCUCCAAGCCCCGUUCAUCUCCACAAUUAAUGACCUUUCACCAAGCCAAUCUCUCAUUUCUUACUGGUUUUGAAACCUCUUACCAUGCAGAGCCAUCGAAAAAACAGAGCAUCCAGACACCUGAGGUUUUAACAGUCUUCCGGGAACAACUCUAAAGGCAACAGGUAGGAUGUACUGAUGCCAGGUUUGCACCUCUAACACUGCAUAUGAGCUGUUGUUCGCAGUAUUUGGUUCUGGUUGAAGCCAGCAGUAAAGUAACAGCUUUGCUGGAAAACAUUUUCUAUGUCAGUACUCUGGCACACUGCUGCUGCUCUCCAGCAUCUGCUGUAGCCAAGGAGUUCUCCAACACUCACCAAGAGCUGGCAGGUUCCUAUUUCCCAGCCACAGCAGAGCAAACAGCACCUUAACUGGGUUCCUUUAUCAGAUCUGGAAUCAGCUCAUUGGGAGAUUCAUCCCUUUGCAAAAGGAGCAGAAUGAGCACGGGGACAAACAUUUCCACUAAAACAUGGUAGCAACAGAAGGCUCAACUGAGCAGUAACAGCGAAGGUUUCUGCUCUGUGCUCACAGGAACUGAGCUACCCUGAGUAGAAAGAGAAGUAACAUCUACAUCAGACAUGGGAGCUCCCACGGGCCCAGUAACCUGCAGGAAUUCCUCCCCCUCAAAGAUUACAAACGGGGCAUGUGUCCAACAUCUCAUCCAAGAUGUUAGAGGUUUAUCAAUUAAAGAAGAAUUUCCCUAAGCCCCAUCUCCCUCCCCAGGAACACCAUAUGUACUUGUUCCUUGUAAGCCUCCUCCUCCAGGGCUGUUCUGAGGGUUGAUCACUGGAUGCAGGAACCACCCUCAGCCCCAGUGUUCUCCGGAGCAUGGGGUGAGGGAAGGAAGAUGCACACUUCUAAAUUCUUCCUCUUGGCUCCGUUUGUCACAGAUGCUCUCAUACAAAUUUAAACCUUCAUUCUGUACAAAAGGAAUCAUCUGCUUCAACAGCCAAAUGGGGAAUCCAGCUGUGCUCUCAAACCCGACUUACCAAACAGAGUUCGAGAGAGGGCCGUGCCAAGGUAAUGCCUUAGCCUUACUGAAAGCACAGUGGUUUAAGUUAAACAUAAAAAUACCCUAAGUUAUAAAAUAAAGCUCAUAGCCAUUUGCUUUAUUUAAUAAUCCAAACAGCAACCUGAAACCAGGUGUAAGGAACGGGCAGGGAAUGACAGUCUCCUUGCAGGAAAAGCUGCUGGGUACAUCUCUGUGAUACCAGUGGAGUUUCCCUGUGUUUUUCCCUGCGAGCUCUGGUUCCCACUCCUAUUGCUGACCAACAUACUGACUAUGAACCACUGUGCAUGGCGAGAUCUCACCAAGGAAGAGUCAAGUCCAGGUUUGUGGCAGCUCCAAGCAAGGCCAGCCCAAGUAUUUACACCAAAGGGCUGGGCUGGAAGCAUGGACCAGAGGAGAUGGGACUCCUCAUGGGAUGUCACAUGUCCUCAUGGGAGAUGGGAGACACAGAGCACUCACUGCAAGAGGGUGUUUCUAGAGCCAUGCAUCUCUUGAAGAGAACAGAAUUGUUGGGAAACCCCUCCAGAGAGGAGAGGUGACCAUUGCUGUACAUCACACCCCACAGCACCAAGCACAACGGGAGCCUUUAUCUUGUUUAUGGUCUUUACCAAAAUCCUAUAAAUAAUAAGAUAUGGAUUAGCCCUUUGGGGAAAGAAGGAAAUGAAAGAUCACUGGUGCUUGUGAGCUCACAACUGGCAGAUAAGCACCUCCAGCAGGUAUGUGCCAGUAGAAAAGGGAAGGUUAUUUAGGUGACUCAGCCUUCAGCACUCAAAGGAAUCUCUACCCCUCACUAAUUUCAGCCCUGGAUCACCCCCGGAAUGCCUGGCUAAUUAGAGCAUCUCCAAGAGACACAUCCAGUGCCAAUGGCUAUUUUGGGUCCUCAAAUUAGCAUCUGCAGACUCCAGGCUAAAAUCUGAAUGCAGGAAUGCUAUGAGAGGGAGGAAGAUGUCUGACAUAAGGCAUGUCUUCAAAAUACUUUUCCCAUAUACAGUUAUUUCAGCAGAUUAAGAUUUACAUUCCCCCAUAACAUGAAAGUCUUUCACAUAAACAUGCAACAAACGCAAUGCACAACAAGCUGCAUUACUCC
rnacentral:lncRNA from 1 species